GAAUUCGUUAUAGCCUCCUAAGGGGGGCAGCAGUGGGGAAUAUUGGUCAAUGGGCGCAAGCCUGAUCCAGCCAUGCCGCGUGUGUGAAGAAGGCCUUCGGGUUGUAAAGCACUUUCAGUAGGGAGGAAAACCUGAUGGUUAAUACCCAUUGGGCUUGACGUUACCUACAGAAGAAGCACCGGCUAACUCCGUGCCAGCAGCCGCGGUAAUACGGAGGGUGCGAGCGUUAAUCGGAAUUACUGGGCGUAAAGCGCGCGUAGGCGGUA
rnacentral:rRNA from 1 species